UUAAUAGCUUAAAGAGAAGACCUAGGUACUUACAGACGAAGAAGGACGUUUUAUAGUCGACGAAACACUUCGAUUAGCUGACUUAAAAGCAAUUUAAAAUCGAAGAUUUCCGAAUAGGUUAUAACCUUUUAAUUUUUUAACUGUUAUUAUAAAGUUAAAAAAAGUUAACCUGGGGAACUGAAUCAUCUUAGUACCUAGAGGAAAAAAAAGUAAAAACGAUUUCCAUAGUAGUGGCGAGCGAAAAGGAAAUAAAAAAUAUAAAGAAAUUAUAAUUUUAGUAUAAAAAUAAUUAAAGUUAUUUUAAUAAGUAAAAUGGAAAAUGUUCUAUUCCGUUUGAAUUAAUAAUAUCGAGAAUCACCUCGUAAUACUAAAUACUCGUAAGUAACCGAUAGUGAACUAGUACUGUGAAGGAAAGGUGAAAAGAACCCCGAAGUGAGGGGAGUGAAAAGAACGCAAAACUUUAAGCUAACAUAAACAAUAGAAAGGGUUUAGAUAAUCUGACUAUGUACCUAUUGAAGUAGGGACCGAUGAGUCAUAGUAUGUAAGCAAAAUAAGGUUAAGGAUAUUAUAUAAAAAUCCGGAGCCAGAGUGAAAGCGAGCUUAAAAUAAAGCAUAAAGUUUACUUCUAUGAACCCGAAGCCGGAUGAUCUAAUCAUAUUCAGAGUGAAGCAUAGGUUAAACUGUGUGGAGGCUUGUACUGGUUAAUACUGCAAAAUUAUCAGAUGAAAUGUGAUUAGGGGUGAAAUGCCAAUCGAAUCCGGAGCUAGCUGGUUCUCCCCGAAAUGUAUUUAAGUACAGCUGCUUUUUUAUAUGAUAGUUAGGGGUAAAGCACUGUUUUUUAAUUAAAACUAUAAUAUUAUUUAUUAGUUUUUAAUUAAUUCAACCUAUGAAUACUACUAUUAUUUAGCAAGUGAGACUUUAGGGGCUAAUCUCUUAAGUCAAAAGGGAAACAGCCCAGACCAUAUAAGUUAAGGUCCUUAAAGAUUAUUAAGUUAUAAAGGAAGUAAAAUUAUUUAAACAGCCAGAAGGUUAGCUUAGAAGCAGCUAUCCUUUAAAGAGUGCGUAAAAGCUCACUGGUUUAGUGAUUUUGUGCCGAAAAUUUAAGGGAAUAAAUAAUCUACCGAAGCUAUGGGUUAUAUUUUUAAAGAAUUAUAUCGGUAGGGGAGCGUUCUACCUUAGAAUAAAGUUUUAAUGAAAAUUAAAAUGAACGAAGUAGAAGUGAGAAUAUCGGUUUGAGUAGCAACUUUAUCAGUAAAAAUCUGAUAUUCCUAAAACCUAAGGGUUCCUACGAAAUUGUUGUUCAACGUAGGGUUAGUCGGGGCCUAAAAUGAGAUGUAAUGUGUAGUUGAUGGGUAAGUAGGUUAAAUAUUCCUACACCAUAAUUAUUUAGCAAUAAGUAACAAAUUUUAUAUUAAUAUAUUAAGAGUUGGUUAUCUUAAUUUAAAAGUAUUAAAUUUCAAGAAAAACUUUAUUUGCAUUAAAAUAAAUUGUGCUCGUACCUUAAACCGACACAGGUAGGUUAGUAAAAAAUACUAAGGAUAACGAGAUAACUCUCUCUAAGGAACUCGGCAAAUUAAUCCUGUAACUUCGGGAUAAGGGAUACCUUUUAAAGGUGUUAAAAAUAGGCCCGGGCGACUGUUUAUCAAAAACACAGGUCUCCGCUAAGUUGAAAAAUGAUGUAAGGAGGCUGACGCCUGCCCAGUGCCGGUAGGUUAAAAUAAAUAAUAUUGUAUAAAUAACAUUAUUUAGUAAGCCCCGGUAAACGGCGGCUGUAACUAUAACGGUCCUAAGGUAGCGAAUUUCCUUGUCGGGUAAGUUCCGACCCGCACGAAAGGCGUAACGACUUGGGCACUGUCUUUGAGAGAGACUCGGCGAAAUAGAAAUGUCCGUGAAGAUGCGGACUUCUUACACCAGGACAGAAAGACCCUAUGAAGCUUUACUAUAACUUGAUAUUGAAUUUUAUAAUUGAAUGCGCAGAAUAAGUGGGAGAUUUUGAUAUUAUUUUUUAGGGAAUAAAGUAGUCUUUUUGAGAUACCACUCUUUCAAUAAUGAAAUUCUAAUAAAAAUUCUGUAAACCAGUUUUUGGAUAGUUUCAGGUAGGUAGUUUGACUGGGGCGGUCGCCUCCUAAAAAGUAACGGAGGUGCACAAAGGUUUUUUAUAAUGUAAAAAUAAAAAAAGCUUAACUGCGAGACUUACAAGUCAAGCAGAGACGAAAGUCGGUUUUAAUGAUCCGACAAUAUUAAGUGAUACUAUUGUCGCUUAACGGAUAAAAGUUACUCUAGGGAUAACAGGCUGAUCUUCCCCGAUAGUUCUUAUUGACGGGAAGGUUUGGCACCUCGAUGUCGGCUUGUCGCGUCCUGGGGCGGUAGUACGUCCCAAGGGUUGGUCUGUUCGCCCAUUAAAGCGGCACGUGAGCUGGGUUCAGAACGUCGCAAGACAGUUUGGUCCAUAUCCGGUGUAAGCGUUAGAACAUUGAAAGAAUUUCUUUUAGUACGAGAGGAUCAAAGAAACUAUACCUAUGAUGUACCAAUUAUUCUGCCAAGAGUAUAGGUUGGGAAGUUAAGUAUAGAUAGGUAAAUCAUAUUUUAUUAACUGCUGAAAGCAUAUAAGCAGGAAAAAUAUCUUAAGAUAAAUGUUCUUUUCUAUUUUUAAAUUAAUUUAAAAAUAAGAUUAAGAAAUCGAUUAGAGUAAUUGAUAGUUAGCUUUUAUUGAGUAAAAGUAUAGUAAUAUAUUUAGCUUAUAAGACUAAUAUUUCGAGCAUUUGAAUU
rnacentral:rRNA from 1 species